GCAGGUAGGUGAUUCACCUACCUGCCUUUCUACUUCACGCUCUUAGUGUCCUCCGGCCCGCCACGUUGUGGAAGAGUUUGACACCUGUUUUGUAGGUUUUAUUAUCUGGCGAUCUCAUCACUGUCAAUAUUUCACUUUUAUCGUUGUUUGGUGAUGGAUUUCUCUCUUGAUCUUGUGCUGAAAAUGGUCUGAUGAUGGUGAUGACGGAAGACCGUUUGGGUGUACGAUGGUAAACCUGCUGUCAAUGGAUUAUGGAAGCUUAGCAUAUAUUCACCAAACGCUUACUGUCAGUUUGUGUGGGAGCUCUUUAAUGAUCCAGAGAGAUUCAGGUGUCGGUCGACUGCCGCUACCAUCACCACCGUCAUAAGGCCUAUUUAUCAUAUGCCUUUUAUGCUUCAAUAACUAAACAAAUCCACAUGAUUAGGUAAUCGGCCCAGAAAGAAAGAGUUGAUAAAUGGACAAUGAAACAAGACACAAAUGUUGUUCGAAUGACAACUACCUGUGUUGCUUCUAAAAGGGGUCUAGAUAUUGAUGCAAGUGUAGAUGUGCUUGACGACGAGUUAAUGUAAGUUUGUUUUAUAUAUUGCAUAAAAAAUGUAUGUUUUUGUUU
rnacentral:lncRNA from 1 species